UACGGGGGGGGCAAGCGUUGUUCGGAAUUACUGGGCGUAAAGGGCUCGUAGGCGGCCAACUAAGUCAGACGUGAAAUCCCUCGGCUUAACCGGGGAACUGCGUCUGAUACUGGAUGGCUUGAGUUUGGGAGAGGGAUGCGGAAUUCCAGGUGUAGCGGUGAAAUGCGUAGAUAUCUGGAGGAACACCGGUGGCGAAGGCGGCAUCCUGGACCAACACUGACACUGAGGAGCGAAAGCCAAGGGAGCAAACGGG
rnacentral:rRNA from 1 species